GGAUGUGCUCAUUAACCUCUGAACUCUGAAGGCCUGAUGACAGCGCUGCGAGUUCUGAUG
rnacentral:snoRNA from 1 species